CUGCAGUCGACGAUGAUCCCAGCUUGCUGGGGGAUUAGUGGCGAACGGGUGAGUAACACGUGAGUAACCUGCCCUUAACUCUGGGAUAAGCCUGGGAAACUGGGUCUAAUACCGGAUAUGACUCCUCAUCGCAUGGUGGGGGGUGGAAAGCUUUAUUGUGGUUUUGGAUGGACUCGCGGCCUAUCAGCUUGUUGGUGAGGUAAUGGCUCACCAAGGCGACGACGGGUAGCCGGCCUGAGAGGGUGACCGGCCACACUGGGACUGAGACACGGCCCAGACUCCUACGGGAGGCAGCAGUGGGGAAUAUUGCACAAUGGGCGAAAGCCUGAUGCAGCGACGCCGCGUGAGGGAUGACGGCCUUCGGGUUGUAAACCUCUUUCAGUAGGGAAGAAGCGAAAGUGACGGUACCUGCAGAAGAAGCGCCGGCUAACUACGUGCCAGCAGCCGCGGUAAUACGUAGGGCGCAAGCGUUAUCCGGAAUUAUUGGGCGUAAAGAGCUCGUAGGCGGUUUGUCGCGUCUGCCGUGAAAGUCCGGGGCUCAACUCCGGAUCUGCGGUGGGUACGGGCAGACUAGAGUGAUGUAGGGGAGACUGGAAUUCCUGGUGUAGCGGUGAAAUGCGCAGAUAUCAGGAGGAACACCGAUGGCGAAGGCAGGUCUCUGGGCAUUAACUGACGCUGAGGAGCGAAAGCAU
rnacentral:rRNA from 1 species